rnacentral:rRNA from 1 species
CACGUAGGGCGCAAGCGUUGUCCGGAAUUAUUGGGCGUAAAGAGCUUGUAGGCGGUCUGUUACGUCUGCUGUGAAAACCCGGGGCUUAACCCUGGGCUUGCAGUGGAUACGGGCAGACUAGAGGCAGGUAGGGGAGAAUGGAAUUCCCGGUGUAGCGGUGAAAUGCGCAGAUAUCGGGAGGAACACCGGUGGCGAAGGCGGUUCUCUGGGCCUGACCUGACGCUGAGGAGCGAAAGCGUGGGGAGCGAACAGG